CGCGGGGUGGAGCAGUUGGCAGCUCGUCGGGCUCAUAACCCGAAGGUCGUAGGUUCAAGUCCUGCAUCCGCAACCA
rnacentral:tRNA from 1 species